GGGAUCCUCGUGCCUCAGCCUCCCAAAGUGUAAGAGCCACCCUGCCCGGCCUAUUUCAUUCUAUGUCUUCUUCUUUGCAAUGUUAGUACCAGGCUAUGCUUUAAAUCUUUGUAGCUUUCAAAUAUGGUGAUGUUUCUUUUUUUUUUUUCUCCCAACUUCUAACAAGCAGCACAAGUGGAGGUUCACUUUAGAAGCCAGUUAAAGUUGCUUGGGGUCAGUUCCUGCUGCAGUUCGGACUUCAGGCCUGGCAUUCGAACCCCUGGGCCCUCUCCCCUCUGAGGCUGCUUUCCCCUGCUCCUCUCUGUACCUGACGUGGAUCUCCAAGCCAGCGGUCGUCAAGCUUUUUGGAUGGCAACGCCUUACUGAUCAGAUAUUUGGACACCUCUGAUAGGUGCAUAUUUAUUUAUUUGCAAAUUAAAUACAGGUACUCUUGCACUGACACCUUAUUUACAUUAGAAAACAUACAAAGAAGAGAAAUACAUGAGGUAAAAAAUAAAGACAAGCACAUGAUGCCUCAUUUAUGAUUCUAAAACCCCUAAAUCUCUGAAAACAGAAAAUUUGAUUGCAAAUCAUUUGGUGGCUGUCAGGCCAAGAGGAGAAGGAGUUCCUGAAGCCUCUUUGCUGCCCUUUCAUAAACUCUGUAGUAAGGAAGCAGUGAGUGUGCAUGGGUUUAGGUAGUUAAUUACUCACAGUAGUUAAUUACUAUUCUUACUGAUUCCCAUUGCACACUCCACCCACUGAAAUUCUGUAGUGGGUAUGUGGAGUGGGACCAGAUGAUGCUGUGCUCACAGUGGACCUAUGUCACAGCCGAGGAACUGUGAGCUUAAGUCCUGGCCUUAUCAGAAAACUGCCAGCGAAUGUGCCUAACCCUUGCCUUUGGGGAAGACAUUAUCCUUACCACCUUAGGACAUCCGUAAGAUGUCAGUUACAGUUAUGGAAUAGCUUUGGGGAGGAAGACAUUGUCUGUUUUUGUUCUACACACUCCAGCUCCCAAGACAUAUUUGCUAGCCAACCAUUUGUGAAGAGAGCUUCUCAGUGCUCUUUGGUUGAGGACAAGACUGUGCAGAAAUGCCAAAAAAUCUGGGAAGAAUUGUUUCCCAACAGCGGAACACCCAGCCCACACAGACAAAAGACUAUUUAGAGCCUUUAUGCUCUUUGAGGAUCCAUCACAAGUUUUGCUGCAGUUCCUAAAGAAGAGCUUCUAAGACCCUUGGAAUCUCUAGAGUGAUGAGUGCCUUUGGUAAGCUAAUGAGAUAACUGGUGGCUGUGGUCUGUAUCUAGCUUCAGUGGGAGGCUGCCCACCAGAGGGACCAAGGCAUGAUUGGUGGGAUGGUACUUACAGCCUUACUCCUGACCUCCAGGGAAGGAAAAGGGGCUAGAGAUGGACUUAAUCACCAAUGGCCAAUAAUUUGAUUGAUCCUGCCUAUGUAAUGACUUUUCACAAAAUCCUAUAGGAUGGGGUUUGGAGAGCUUCUGGGUUGGUGAAUGCAUCUAUGUACUGGCAGGUGGUGCACCCCAAUUCCAUCAGGACAGAAGAUCCUCUACUUGGGGCUGUACUGGACCUCACCCUAUGUAUUAAUAUUAUUAUUGAUUAUGUUGAUAUUAAUAAUUAUGAUAAUAAUUAUAUGAUAAUUGAUUAUAUUAACAUAAUUAUUCUUCUGACUGUUCAUUUGUAUAUUUUAUAGUAUCUUUUGUAAUAAACUGGUAAAUGUAAGUACAGUGUUUACCUGAGUUAUGUGAGUCAUUAUAACAAAUUUGGAGGCUGAGGAGGUAUUGUGGGAUCUCCUGAUUUGUAGCUGGUUAGUCAGAAGUACUGGAGGCCCAGGACUUGUAAUUGGCACCUGAAGCAGGGGUAGUCUUGUGAGACCGAGCCCCUAACUUAUGGGGUCUGAUACUAACUCAGGUAGAUAAUGCCUCAGGUAGAUAACUCAGGUAGAUAAUUGAAGCGUAGGACACUUCUGGCUGGUGUUGGAAAAUUGGUUGAUGUGGGUAGAAAACCCUACACAUUUGGUGUCAAAAGUGUUCUGUGGGUAAAAACGGUUUCCACUUCCUGGUUCCUUCUGGGCAUGGUGUGUAAAAAAUGCGUGGUGUGUGCACCAUUUUGCCUUUCUAGCAUCAGGGAAACAAAGUUGAUAAGCCAAAGAACAUCUAGCUUCAUUGAUUUCAGGCCCUGUGUAAGAAGAAAUUUUACUAUUUUCUUUCUGUGCCUGAAUAGGUCUUCUUGCAUGCACUCAUUCUGGAGGCCGUUGCUCUGCAGAAGUAUGGCUCCAAGCAUGGCGUGCACACCAGCUGCUGGUCUGUGAUGGGGUGGAAUGAAUUCAGUGCUAUACAAGUGAGAACUGACAAGUGGAGAGUCAGGGAAGCUGCUGUCAUUUCAGAACUGCGUGCUUGUUUUCUCUGGUGGAAGAGCUGUGAGGUGGAGAGAGACCAGGCUGGUCAAACGUAGAACCAGGUGAUGAAGGAAAAAGGAUCAAUGUCGUGAUGCUCAAUUUGGGCAGUACCGACAUUUUGGAUGGAAUAAUUCUUUGCUGGGAGGGACUGUACUGUGCAUUUGAGGGUGUUGAGUAGCAUCUCUGGCAUCUACCCACUAGAUGCUGGUAACACCCCAUCUCCAAGCUGUGACAAUAAAAAAUCUCUCCAAACAUUGCCGCAUGUCCCACAUGAUGCACUAGUUGAUAACCUAUUCGAUCUAAUCACACUGGGCAAAGUUCCCUAGUGAGAAGAUUCUAGAAGCACAAUGUUGUUGACUUGUAUUUGUAAUUUGGGAAUGUAUGUAUUUAUGCUUAAGUUAACCUUAAAUAUAUUAGAUAGACACAGACACACACACACACACACACCCCACAUUGCAUAGUAUAUAUUUGUGGUUUCUUAAUCAAGUUGAAAGAAGCUUUAGAGGUGAUAUCUGAACAAGCAGACAAAUUACAAGUCAGGCCUUAGCACCCUGGGCCCUUUGGGCAUUAAAUACGACAAGAACUUACAUAUUUACUGCCUUCACAUGGAAUAGCCAUAUUUACUUAUUUACAAAAUGGUACAGACGAGGGACCAGCUGUUUGGGUAUGUUUGUGUCCAGUGGUUCCUGGGCGUAUUUCUUUAAGUGGUCUGCCUAUCUUGAUUCUCAUCAGGAACACUGUGAUUUUCUAAGUUUUAAAUGGGUAGAAAGGGCCUGCAGUUAAAGUCUCCCUUUUAAGCGUGAGCACUCAAUUAACUCAUCUUGCAUCUUCGGGAAACUCAGUUACAGCUAAUACGUGUAUCGGGCUAUUGCUUUAGGGUUACAUAUUUCCUGUCUAGAUUUUUUUUUUUUGACAUUUUCAGAUAAAAGUUCGCUCGGAAGGAGAGAUUUAUUGGUUUGCGUCGGCUGUCCCUUCCUUAUCGCCUCUCUGUCCUAAAUUGGAGCUAACUGCUGGCCAGCCACCCGCAGCAGCUUCUGCUGGGGGAAGAGACUGAUCCUUCCAUCCUCUUAUUCCUACCUCUUCCCACAUUCAGGCUUGAACUGAACAUUUUCCAGAAACCAAAACCACUGCCUUUUGGGGUGUUUAUCCCAUGAUGGUGGGAACUCAUUUCCCCGUGGCUAUUUAAUUUUUAUUGUGUUAUUCCUGGGGAGGCCAAAGACACAAAAAUUUGGAGAGACCAGAGAUUGAUGUGAGCACACAGGGGCUAGCUGAGCAUGAGCCUGAAGCCAGCAGGCAGGACUGAGCGUAUGAGAGCAGCUCAAUAGUCGCCAGUCUUCUUUCCUCAUUCUGCCGUUUGACAUCUCCCUCUAACAGAACUGCCUUCGGCUAUGCUGAUAUGUCCUCCAGACCUUUGACCUGAGCUCACAGAACUGGCAGGCUUUUGGUCAUAGACAAAAUUUAUACCAUCUGGAAACUAUAAUAAUCACUCCUGAGACAUCUUACUAAUGGGUGUUUUCCUCUAGAUUCUGGUUCCUGACCAAUCUCUACUCCGGCUUCUGGCAAUGCCCCUAUUGUCUUUGAUGGGGACAAAACACUGCCAUCAGGAGGGACUAAGCUGAAUUGUAUUAAGCAAUGUCUACCGGCUUGGAGGAAAAUUCUCCUCCAGUCCAGAGAAGAGGUUCUUUUGUAAAUGAUGUAAAGUCCAAUACUGAAAUUUCACUGUGUUAAAGAACAUGCCUUAAUUAUGCCUGUGCACACAAGAUUUUUUUUAUCACAGGCCUCUGUCAUCUGAGAAAAACAACGCUUGAGGUUUCUCAGUCAAGAGAAAGAGAGGCAGGGGAACAGAGAUAACUGUUUUACAUCUAUAGUUAACUCUUAAUUGAUUAUAUAAUUAUAUAAAACAGUUAACUCUAUAUAUCGGAUAUUUUCACUACAUUAGAUUUCACACCAGUAGGACAUAUUGUAAAAAUACUGUCUUUCUCUGCUAUGCAUUUUGAUGUUCUCUGUCUGUGGAAAAUGGUGGCUUAUAGCACACACAACAAUAAAGAUACAUGUUUUUGGAUAAUUUAUGUCCAUGGUUCCUCUUGCAAUAUUCUCCUCUUCAUUAUCAGUUGAGGUAUGUGUGUAGUGAGAGGCAGCUGUAUGCCAGGAUUUGUUUUGGGAGCUCUAUGUGCAUGAUUGAUAGUGUUCUCUCCAGCUCCCAGUGUGUCAGUAUCAUUACCCCAGCUUUAGAGAUGAGGAAGUGAGGGCUUUGAUAAAAACAGGCCACCCUGGAACAUGCUCAGAGAUGAAAGAUACCAUCCUUGCCCUUGCGGAGCUCCAUAUCUCCCCGACGAUAACAUGAGAAAAUCCUUGUUUAAAACCAAAGUGGAGGCAUUUAGGCCAACUAAUGGUGGUGUCCUCUAUGUCCAGACACUUCUGAGGCUGAGUCUUGAUGCGCACGAGCCUUCUUUGGUCCCAGUAGUAAAGAGCUUCCUUUGCUAUCCAGGGCUAUCCUGUAGGGCCAGAUAAGCAGGGCAUUGAAGGUAAUAGAGUUAGCUCAUUUACAGCAGCCUUCUUGCCUAAAAUAAGCUAUUUAAUUGCCUGCUCUUGGAACUGAAUCUACUUAGGGUAGAUAAUGACUCCAAACAGCCUACUGGAGUAUACUCAGUGUUAUCUGAAUGCUCCUAAAUUAGGAUUGUAGCAAGUUUUUAACCAAACUCUGCCUUGCAAGGCUUUGAGAAGCUCAGUCUUGAUAGAUUUUCACUCUUUCUUCCUGAGACAGGAAGAAAAUUUGCUGUUUAAUAAUUUGGCUGUAGGAUAAAGCCCAUUCCUAAUUCAUGAGUCUAUAAAAUGUCUCUAGCUCAAAAGAUAACUGUAGCUCACUCUGCCCACCCUAUUCCCAAUAUAAUUACAAGUAGAAAGAGAAAUUGUAAAGUGCUUUUAAUGGAAAAUUUUGCUCCAGAGGGCUUGAUAUCUCAAUAAGUGUGCUUGACACCCCCGUAACUGUCCACUGGCAGCUGCUACUCUCCUGAAAGACAGAUUGGUCUAUCCCAAGCUGAAGCCUAGACACUGGGAUUUGUGCACAUCCACAGAGCAGCCCACACUCAUUGCCCAAACUCACCGUCAGUGUUGGCAGUGUCAAACCUUCACCCCAAGUGAGCAUUCACCCACUUUCCUGUACCCCACUGUCUAAGGCAAACACUGUCUUUGCCAUCCCUUAUCAUUGGCCUUGUUAGAGCCAUAAGAAGCAGAACUGAGAAAGGACCCUUUUGAUUUGUAUCAAACAUGGCCAAGGUUUGCAUGCCAGAGAGAAGACAUGAUAGACUUUGAAGAAAAGGGAGAGUGGACAGCAAGAUGAAGACUGUGAGAGCUGGAUUCUGGUGGGGAGUUUUCAGCAGGCAGGUGGGAGAGAGGGAUGAAGAGAGAAGCUUUGGUGCAGACAUGGGAUGUGAGAGAGAACAGGUGUAGAGCAAUGGGAAAAGGGAAUUUUGGUUGUGGCAGUGGGUUGUAAAAUUGUAUUUGCUCAGGCUUCCUUCACAAAACACAGCAAAGCUUAGAAUUGAAUUAAAUUACCUUUGAUUUCUGGCCUCUGUUUACUCAAAUGAGAAAGUGGGCAGAGCCUAGAUAAGUUGUUUAUUUUAUUAACAAGAUAAACAACUGUUUGCUUGUCAAAACCCAGCUUGGAUGUCAUCCCAGCAAAGCCUUUCCUGCAGUCUCCCUGAAAAGUCAACUAUUGCCCACUCAGCAGCAUGCCAUCGCAGACAUGCACUUUUACACAUGCUCACCUAUGGCAUUGUACUGUCUUAUUGGUUUACACAUCUGCCUUUCUCCCAAGACUGUGAAAUGCUUGUGUUUUUCGUCUUGAUAUCUCUGGUAACCAUCAUGAUGUCUUAUAAGGGGUAUUUGCCUAAUAAAAGUGUAUUGGCAUCAACUUAAUGUAUAUGCCUUAUUGUGUUUUCCCUAUAAGGACUUCUAUAUUCAGAGUAAUACAGUUAUAUGGUAAGAUUUGCUGUCAUAUGUUGGGUUACGUGUGUGGGAUCCACUUAUUGUGAUGAAUGAUACAGGGGGGCAUCUUUAGUCUGAGGCUUGGAUCAAGCCCUGAAGAGAAGCCCAGAGCCUGAAGUCCUGUCUGGCACAUUUCAGACUCCUAGUAAAUUCUUUCUGAAUGAAUGAAUUGCUCUGGGUCUUAGCUUUCUCCAGAAUAAAAAGAGGGAUAAGACCA